GACGAACGCUGGCGGCGUGCUUAACACAUGCAAGUCGAACGGAAAGGCCCUGCUUUUGUGGGGUGCUCGAGUGGCGAACGGGUGAGUAACACGUGAGUAACCUGCCCUUGACUUUGGGAUAACUUCAGGAAACUGGGGCUAAUACCGGAUAGGAGCUCCUGCUGCAUGGUGGGGGUUGGAAAGUUUCGGCGGUUGGGGAUGGACUCGCGGCUUAUCAGCUUGUUGGUGGGGUAGUGGCUUACCAAGGCUUUGACGGGUAGCCGGCCUGAGAGGGUGACCGGCCACAUUGGGACUGAGAUAUGGCCCAGACUCCUACGGGAGGCAGCAGUGGGGAAUAUUGCACAAUGGGCGGAAGCCUGAUGCAGCAACGCCGCGUGCGGGAUGACGGCCUUCGGGUUGUAAACCGCUUUCGCCUGUGACGAAGCGUGAGUGACGGUAAUGGGUAAAGAAGCACCGGCUAACUACGU
rnacentral:rRNA from 1 species